rnacentral:rRNA from 1 species
AGCGAACAGACGAGGAGCUUGCUCCUCUGACGUUAGCGGCGGACGGGUGAGUAACACGUGGAUAACCUACCUAUAAGACUGGGAUAACUUCGGGAAACCGGAGCUAAUACCGGAUAAUAUAUUGAACCGCAUGGUUCAAUAGUGAAAGACGGUUUUGCUGUCACUUAUAGAUGGAUCCGCGCCGCAUUAGCUAGUUGGUAAGGUAACGGCUUACCAAGGCAACGAUGCGUAGCCGACCUGAAAGGGUGAUCGGCCACACUGGAACUGAGACACGGUCCAGACUCCUACGGGAGGCAGCAGUAGGGAAUCUUCCGCAAUGGGCGAAAGCUUGACGGAGCAACGCCGCGUGAGUGAUGAAGGUCUUCGGAUCGUAAAACUCUGUUAUUAGGGAAGAACAAAUGUGUAAGUAACUAUGCACGUCUUGACGGUACCUAAUCAGAAAGCCACGGCUAACUACGUGCCAGCAGCCGCGGUAAUACGUAGGUGGCAAGCGUUAUCCGGAAUUAUUGGGCGUAAAGCGCGCGUAGGCGGUUUUUUAAGUCUGAUGUGAAAGCCCACGGCUCAACCGUGGAGGGUCAUUGGAAACUGGAAAACUUGAGUGCAGAAGAGGAAAGUGGAAUUCCAUGUGUAGCGGUGAAAUGCGCAGAGAUAUGGAGGAACACCAGUGGCGAAGGCGACUUUCUGGUCUGUAACUGACGCUGAUGUGCGAAAGCGUGGGGAUCAAACAGGAUUA